rfam:Penicillium freii strain DAOM 242723 scaffold_244, whole genome shotgun sequence.
GCCCUUCGGGGCAUAUUGUGAACUGAAAAUAUACAGAGGAGAUUAGCAUGGCCCCUGAACUAAGGAUGACACGCUCAAUCAAAGAGAAGCUACCUAUUUUU